rnacentral:rRNA from 1 species
CAGGCUUAACACAUGCAAGUCGAGGGGCAGCAUGGUCUUAGCUUGCUAAGGCCGAUGGCGACCGGCGCACGGGUGAGUAACACGUAUCCAACCUGCCGUCUACUCUUGGACAGCCUUCUGAAAGGAAGAUUAAUACAAGAUGGCAUCAUGAGUCCGCAUGUUCACAUGAUUAAAGGUAUUCCGGUAGACGAUGGGGAUGCGUUCCAUUAGAUAGUAGGCGGGGUAACGGCCCACCUAGUCUUCGAUGGAUAGGGGUUCUGAGAGGAAGGUCCCCCACAUUGGAACUGAGACACGGUCCAAACUCCUACGGGAGGCAGCAGUGAGGAAUAUUGGUCAAUGGGCGAGAGCCUGAACCAGCCAAGUAGCGUGAAGGAUGACUGCCCUAUGGGUUGUAAACUUCUUUUAUAAAGGAAUAAAGUCGGGUAUGGAUACCCGUUUGCAUGUACUUUAUGAAUAAGGAUCGGCUAACUCCGUGCCAGCAGCCGCGGUAAUACGGAGGAUCCGAGCGUUAUCCGGAUUUAUUGGGUUUAAAGGGAGCGUAGAUGGAUGUUUAAGUCAGUUGUGAAAGUUUGCGGCUCAACCGUAAAAUUGCAGUUGAUACUGGAUAUCUUGAGUGCAGUUGAGGCAGGCGGAAUUCGUGGUGUAGCGGUGAAAUGCUUAGAUAUCACGAAGAACUCCGAUUGCGAAGGCAGCCUGCUAAGCUGCAACUGACAUUGAGGCUCGAAAGUGUGGGUAUCAAACAGGAUUAGAUACCCUGGUAGUCCACACGGUAAACGAUGAAUACUCGCUGUUUGCGAUAUACGGCAAGCGGCCAAGCGAAAGCGUUAAGUAUUCCACCUGGGGAGUACGCCGGCAACGGUGAAACUCAAAGGAAUUGACGGGGGCCCGCACAAGCGGAGGAACAUGUGGUUUAAUUCGAUGAUACGCGAGGAACCUUACCCGGGCUUAAAUUGCAGAUGAAUUACGGUGAAAGCCGUAAGCCGCAAGGCAUCUGUGAAGGUGCUGCAUGGUUGUCGCCAGCUCGUGCCGUGAGGUGUCGGCUUAAGUGCCAUAACGAGCGCAACCCUUGUUGUCAGUUACUAACAGGUUCCGCUGAGGACUCUGACAAGACUGCCAUCGUAAGAUGUGAGGAAGGUGGGGAUGACGUCAAAUCAGCACGGCCCUUACGUCCGGGGCUACACACGUGUUACAAUGGGGGGUACAGAGGGCCGCUACCACGCGAGUGGAUGCCAAUCCCCAAAACCUCUUUCAGUUCGGACUGGAGUCUGCAACCCGACUCCACGAAGCUGGAUUCGCUAGUAAUCGCGCAUCAGCCACGGCGCGGUGAAUACGUUCCCGGGCCUUGUACACACCGCCCGUCAAGCCAUGGGAGCCGGGGGUACCUGAAGUGCGUAACCGCGAGGAGCGCCCUAGGGUAAAACUGGUGACUGGGGCUAAGUC